rnacentral:rRNA from 1 species
CCUACGGGGGGCAGCAGUGGGGAAUAUUGCGCAAUGGGCGAAAGCCUGACGCAGCGACGCCGCGUGAGGGAUGAAGGUCUUCGGAUCGUAAACCUCUGUCAACAGGGAAGAACGGUCACGGUGCUAAUCAGCAGUGAAUUGACGGUACCGGCAAAGGAAGCACCGGCUAACGCCGUGCCAGCAGCCGCGGUAAUACGGAGGGUGCGAGCGUUAAUCGGAAUUACUGGGCGUAAAGCGCUCGUCGGCGGUAUGUCAAGUCAAGGGUGAAAUCCCCGCGCUCAACGUGGGAACUUCCUUUGAAACUUGCAACCUGGAGUGUGUGAGAGGAUAGUCGCAUUCCCGGUGUAGGCGUUCACUCCGUCGCUAUCUGGAGGCCCAUCAGUGUCGAAGGCGACUCUCUGUCACAUACCUGACGCUGAUGAGCGAAUGCGUGGGUAGCAACCAGGAUUAGAUACCCUUGUAGUC